AAUUCCAUGGCAUGUGAGACAUUCCUUUUUUGAAAAGGCAAGCAGCUGAUAUAGCAUGCUGUAGCACAAAAGGAGUAAGUUAAAAUGCCAAAAAAUAUUUCCAGGGAAAGGGAAGUCAAAAUAUAGUGAUAUAUGUACUCUGCGUUGUUAAGGUCUUCAAAUUUGAGUGAAGCGUGCCUGCGAGGACGUACCUACUGUGUUGUGCCACCGAUUGACUGCAAACAGCCUGCU